UACGGCCGGAUCACGUCGAAACACCGAUUCCCGUACGAUCCCCGAAGUUAAGCAACGUCGAGCGUGAUCAAUACCCAGAUGGGUAACCGCCUGGGAAUACUAGGUGUUGUAAG